CCAGGGUGGAGUUACCAUGGAAGCUUGUAGGCCGUGUCCACCAGGACUCUACUGUGCCCAACCGGCCCUCACUCAGCCCACUGGUCAGUGUACUGAAGGCCACUACUGCCCUGAAGGACAGACCUGCGGUACACCCAAACAACACGUCUGUCAGCCUGGACACCAUUGUGAGAAGGGCAGUGUCAGAGAGACAGCGUGUCAGCCAGGCAGCUAUCAGCCCAGAGAAGGGCAGGGCAGCUGUGAGACAUGCCCUGCUGGCUCCUACUGUCCAGACCAAGGUACGACCCUUCCGGUCGGCUGUGACAGGGGAUAUUAUUGUAUCCGUGGAUCGGAAAAUCAGCGCUCUUGUCCCGCGGGGACCUACAGCAACCAAUCUGGAUUGGUGAAUGAAUCACACUGCCUGCGCUGUGACCCCGGCUAUUUCU